UACAGAGGUCUCAAGCGUUGUUCGGAUUCAUUGGGCGUAAAGGGUGCGUAGGCGGCGCGGUAAGUCGGGUGUGAAAUCUCGGGGCUUAACUCCGAAACUGCAUUCGAUACUGCCGUGCUUGAGGACUGGAGAGGAGACUGGAAUUUACGGUGUAGCGGUGAAAUGCGUAGAUAUCGUAAGGAAGACCAGUGGCGAAGGCGGGUCUAUGGGCCGUAACUGACGCUGAGGAGCGAAAGCGUGGGGAGCGAACAGG
rnacentral:rRNA from 1 species